rnacentral:rRNA from 1 species
GGAGUUAGCCGGUGCUUCUUCUGUGAGUGAUGUCCUUCCUGCCGGCUAUUAACCCGCAGGCCUUCUUCCUCACUGAAAGUGCUUUACAACCCGAAGGCCUUCUUCACACACGCGGCAUGGCUGGAUCAGGGUUGCCCCCAUUGUCCAAUAUUCCACACUGCUGCCUCCCGUAGGAGUCUGGGCCGUGUCUCAGUCCCAGUGUGGCUGAUCAUCCUCUCAGACCAGCUACGGAUCGUCGCCUUGGUGAGCCGUUACCUCACCAACCAGCUAAUCCGACAUAGGCUCAUCCGAUAGCGCGAGGCCCGAAGGUCCCCCGCUUUCCCCCGUAGGGCGUAUGCGGUAUUAGCCUGGGUUUCCCCAGGUUAUCCCCCACUACCGGGCAGAUUCCUAUGCAUUACUCACCCGUCCGCCGCUCGCCACCAGGGAGCAAGCUCCCCGUGCUGCCGCUCGACUUGCAUGUGUUAGGCCUGCCGCCAGCGUUCAAUCUGAGCCAUGAUCAAACUCUGA